rnacentral:lncRNA from 1 species
CUGGACUAGCCAGAUGGGAACAUGGAGAGGAAGGAGGAGCGCCUGCUUGGUAAGAAAUAGAAGUCUGAGUGCUUGGCACAGGGGUUUCGGUAACCCCCUAGAGAAGAGGAGGAAGUGCCUGUUUCCGUGUAGAGCAAGCGGGGAAUGCCACUUUGUGCUUUGCACACGCGUCCCUAAACCCAGACGCCUGGGAGAGCACGAGCUCAGGGCUGCUCUGUGCUGUGCACACGCGUCCCUAAACCCAGACGCCUGGGAGAACACAGGCUCACGCUGCUCGGUGCUGUGCACACGCGUCCCUAAACCCAGACGCCCGGGAGAACACAGGCUCACGCUGCUCGGUGCUGUGCACACGCGUCCCUAAACCCAGACGCCUGGGAGAACACAGGCUCACGCUGCUCGGUGCUGUGCACACGCG